GUUGUAUGGUUAAGURAYUAAGCGUAGACGGUGGAUGCCUUGGCAGUCAGAGGCGAUGAAGGACGUAUUAACUUGCGAAAAGCCCAGAUAAGGCAGUAAAAGCCAUUUGAAUCUGGGAURUCCGAAUGGGGAAACCCACCUGCAUAAGCAGGUAUCUUAGCGUGAAUACAUAGCGCUAAGAGGCGAACUCGGGGAACUGAAACAUCUAAGUACCCGAAGGAAAAGAAAUCAAUUGAGAUUCCGGCAGUAGCGGCGAGCGACCCCGGAUUAGCCCUUAAGCAGACUUGGCGUUAGGUGAACAGGUUGGAAAACCUGGCAAUAAAGGGUGAUAGCCCCGUAACCGACGGCGCCAUAUUUGUGAAAACGAGUAGGACGGGACACGUGAUAUCUUGUCUGAACAUGGGGGGACCAUCCUCCAAGGCUAAAUACUCCUGACUGACCGAUAGUGAACCAGUACCGUGAGGGAAAGGCGAAAAGAACCCCUGUGAGGGGAGUGAAAUAGAACCUGAAACCGUCUACGUACAAGCAGUGGGAGCCUCCUWGUGGGGUGACCGCGUACCUUUUGUAUAAUGGGUCAGCGACUUAAUGUUAGUAGCAAGGUUAACCGCAUAGGGGAGCCGUAGGGAAACCGAGUCUUAACUGGGCGURUAGUUGCUAGCAUUAGACCCGAAACCGAGUGAUCUAGCCAUGGGCAGGUUGAAGGUUGAGUAACAUCAACUGGAGGACCGAACUCACUAACGUUGAAAAGUUAGGAGAUGACCUGUGGCUAGGGGUGAAAGGCCAAUCAAACUCGGAGAUAGCUGGUUCUCCCCGAAAGCUAUUUAGGUAGCGCCUCGGACGAACACUACUGGGGGUAGAGCACUGUUAAGGCUAGGGGGUCAUCCCGACUUACCAACCCUUUGCAAACUCCGAAUACCAGUAAGUGCUAUCCGGGAGACACACGGCGGGUGCUAACGUCCGUCGUGGAGAGGGAAACAACCCAGACCGCCAGCUAAGGUCCCAAAGUUAUCGCUAAGUGGGAAACGAUGUGGGAAGGCUCAGACAGCCAGGAUGUUGGCUUAGAAGCAGCCAUCAUUUAAAGAAAGCGUAAUAGCUCACUGGUCGAGUCGGCCUGCGCGGAAGAUGUAACGGGGCUAAGCGAUACACCGAAGCUGCGGCAAUGUCCUUAUGGAUAUUGGGUAGGGGAGCGUUGUGUAAGCYGUUGAAGGUGUGCUGAGAGGCAUGCUGGAGGUAUCACAAGUGCGAAUGCUGACAUGAGUAACGAUAAAGGGGGUGAAAAACCUCCUCGCCGGAAGACCAAGGGUUCCUGUCCAACGUUAAUCGGGGCAGGGUAAGUCGGCCCCUAAGGCGAGGCCGAAAGGCGUAGUCGAUGGGAAACGGGUUAAUAUUCCCGUACUGCURCUUACUGCGAUGGGGGGACGGAGAAGGCUAGGUGGGCCUGGCGAUGGUUGUCCAGGUUCAAGGGUGUAGGCUGUAAUCUUAGGCAAAUCCGGGAUUACRYACGGUCGAGACCCGAUGUCGAGCCACCAAGGUGGUGAAGUCAUUGAUGCCAUGCUUCCGGGAAAAGCCUCUAAGCUUCAGGUAAGUAGGAACCGUACUCCAAACCGACACAGGUGGUCGGGUAGAGAAUACCAAGGCGCUUGAGAGAACUCGGGUGAAGGAACUAGGCAAAAUGGUACCGUAACUUCGGGAGAAGGUACGCUGCCCACGGUGAAGUCCCUUGCGGAUGGAGCUAUGGGCAGUCGCAGAUACCAGGUGGCUGCAACUGUUUAUUAAAAACACAGCACUGUGCAAAAUCGAAAGAUGACGUAUACGGUGUGACGCCUGCCCGGUGCCGGAAGGUUAAUUGAUGUGGUUAUCGCAAGAGAAGCCAUUGAUCGAAGCCCCGGUAAACGGCGGCCGUAACUAUAACGGUCCUAAGGUAGCGAAAUUCCUUGUCGGGUAAGUUCCGACCUGCACGAAUGGCGUAAUGAUGGCCACGCUGUCUCCACCCGAGACUCAGUGAAAUUGAAAUCGCAGUGAAGAUGCUGUGUACCCGCGGCUAGACGGAAAGACCCCGUGAACCUUUACUACAGCUUGGCACUGAACAUUGAGCCUACAUGUGUAGGAUAGGUGGGAGGCUUUGAAACGGCGACGCCAGUUGUCGUGGAGCCAUCCUUGAAAUACCACCCUUGUAUGUUUGAUGUUCUAACUUAGCCCCSUUAUCSGGGGUGAGGACAGUGCCUGGUGGGUAGUUUGACUGGGGCGGUCUCCUCCCAAAGYGUAACGGAGGAGCACGAAGGUGGGCUAAUCACGGUCGGACAUCGUGAGGUUAGUGCAAUGGCAUAAGCCCGCUUAACUGCGAGAGUGACGGCUCGAGCAGGUACGAAAGUAGGUCAUAGUGAUCCGGUGGUUCUGAAUGGAAGGGCCAUCGCUCAACGGAUAAAAGGUACUCCGGGGAUAACAGGCUGAUACCGCCCAAGAGUUCAUAUCGACGGCGGUGUUUGGCACCUCGAUGUCGGCUCAUCACAUCCUGGGGCUGAAGUCGGUCCCAAGGGUAUGGCUGUUCGCCAUUUAAAGUGGUACGCGAGCUGGGUUUAGAACGUCGUGAGACAGUUCGGUCCCUAUCUGCCGUGGGCGUUGGAUGAUUGAGGGGAGCUGCUCCUAGUACGAGAGGACCGGAGUGGACGAACCGCUGGUGUUCGGGUUGUGUCGCCAGACGCAUUGCCCGGUAGCUAAGUUCGGCACAGAUAAGCGCUGAAAGCAUCUAAGCGCGAAGCUGGCCCCGAGAUGAGUCAUCCCUAGAGCUUCGAGCUCUCUAAAGGGCUUGUGUCGCCAGACGCAUUGCCCGGUAGCUAAGUUCGGCACAGAUAAGCGCUGAAAGCAUCUAAGCGCGAAGCUGGCCCCGAGAUGAGUCAUCCCUAGAGCUUCGAGCUCUCUAAAGGGUUGUUCUAGACUAGAACGUUGAUAGGCAGGGUGUGUAAGCGCUGUGAGGCGUUGAGCUAACCUGUACUAAUUGCCCGUGMGGCUUAACCAUACAACACCCAAG
rnacentral:rRNA from 1 species